UCCGGGUUGGACCCGGCGGUCCCGCCAGACAUGGCAACUGGCAGCGAGGGUUGCGCUCGUUGCGGGACUUAACCCAACACCUCACGGCACGAGCUGACGACAGCCGUGCAGCACCCCGCACCCUGCCCCGAAGGGAAACCGGCUUUCACCGGCGGUCAGGGCACGUUCAAGCCCAGGUAAGGUUCUUCGCGUUGCAUCGAAUUAAACCACAUGCUCCACCGCUUGUGCGGGCCCCCGUCAAUUCCUUUGAGUUUCAACCCUGCGGUCGUACUCCCCAGGCGGGGUACUUCCUGCGUUAGCGCCGGCACCCAGAGGGUCGCUCCCCCAGGCACCUAGUACCCAUCGUUUACGGCGUGGACUAC
rnacentral:misc_RNA from 1 species